rnacentral:rRNA from 1 species
GCUUGCAGUGAUUGAUUAGUGGCGAACGGGUGAGUAACACGUGAGGAACUUGCCCAUGAGCGGGGGACAACAUUCGGAAACGGAUGCUAAUACCCCAUAGGUGGAUUGGUCGCAUGACUAAUUCAUUAAAGGUGGCUCUGCUACCACUCAUGGAUAGCCUCGCGGCGUAUUAGCUAGUUGGUAAGGUAAUGGCUUACCAAGGCAGUGAUACGUAGCCGACUUGAGAGGGUGGUCGGCCACACUGGGACUGAGACACGGCCCAGACUCCUACGGGAGGCAGCAGUAGGGAAUCUUCCACAAUGGGUGCAAACCUGAUGGAGCAAUGCCGCGUGAGUGAAGAAGGUCUUCGGAUCGUAAAGCUCUGUUGUUAGAGAAGAACACGUGCUAGGUAACUACUAGCGCCUUGACGGUAUCUAACCAGAAAGUCACGGCUAACUACGUGCCAGCAGCCGCGGUAAUACGUAGGUGACAAGCGUUGUCCGGAUUUAUUGGGCGUAAAGGGAGCGCAGGCGGUCUGUUUAGUCUAAUGUGAAAGCCCACGGCUUAACCGUGGAACGGCAUUGGAAACUGACAGACUUGAAUGUAGAAGAGGAAAAUGGAAUUCCAAGUGUAGCGGUGGAAUGCGUAGAUAUUUGGAGGAACACCAGUGGCGAAGGCGAUUUUCUGGUCUAA